rnacentral:lncRNA from 1 species
UGUUUGUUUGUUUUAAACCCAGUCACUUUGGAGAUCCAAGUCAGAGUUUACUGCAUACGUUAGGUUGCCAGCCUUUGCUUUGGGGUAACCGGGAUGUAGGUGAGAUGAGCUGCUGGAAGUUUCACAGCCUCUUAAGAGCUGCUGUGCACUCGUCCUUGACAGGAAGGGCAAGCUGAGCAAACAGGGCAGAGGACGAGCAUGUGAGGUGGCCGCAGGGGAGCCAGCAGCAGGGACAGGGCUGCUCCGACUGCUUGAGAAUCUCUUCAGCAACCGGGAAGGGGCUGAAAGCACAAAGACAAGAUUGUGUUGUGAAGGUGUUUCCUCACAGAGUCUGGGUUAUUUCUGUUGCAGUAUUGCUUCCUUCACACCCCUUGUAUUACUAUGCUAUAGGAUUAACAUCAGGCAGUUAGGAGAAACUUCAGACUUCCCAGAGCAUGGCCCAAGGAGUAGCCAAUGCUCUGUUGUCCAUAGCUGCAUUCAGUUUAGAGUUUACUUGCUGUGAAUGUACGUUUUGAAAAAGCUUUUUUGCUUUGUUGUAAUUUAAGAACAGUCCUUCCAAUGUCUCUAUUGUCAAGUAUGUGCUGAGAUGUAUGGGUACUUCUGCCGGUAUAGUCUUUCCAUCGCAACUUGAAGCUAUGGAAUGUGCAAGAGUGGUCCUUAAUUUUAUUCUUAUUCAGAAGUGGAAAAGAAGGCAGUGAUAACAGAGAAAAUUUUCAUUUUCCUUCUUAAACCCCACCAGUUUGAAUAAUCUUUUGCUGAGUUUCCUGAUGUGGCUAUUUGCAUUCUUUUGUGAAUUCAGACUGACUGUUAGCAGCCUCCAAAUAAAACAUGGUUAUAUGAAGAUUUACCUUGG